rnacentral:piRNA from 1 species
CUUUGGCAUUGUGGAAGGACUCA